rnacentral:rRNA from 1 species
UUGGAGGGCAAGUCUGGUGCCAGCAGCCGCGGUAAUUCCAGCUCCAAUAGCGUAUAUUAAAGUUGUUGCAGUUAAAAAGCUCGUAGUUGAAUUUCGGGGUCUAUCCAUUGGUCGGGCUUUAUUGUCCGUACUGGUGUGAUGGGUUCCUACCUUCUGAAUAACCGGCAUGCCAUUCAUUUGGUGCGCCGGGGAAGCAGAGCUAUUACCUUGAAAAAAUUAGAGUGCUUAAAGCAGGCUAGUGCUUGAAUAGAUUAGCAUGGAAUAAUAAAAUAGGACGGCAUGGUUCUAUUUUGUUGGUUUCUAGGAUCACCGUAAUGAUUAAUAGGGAUAGUUGGGGGCAUUAGUAUUCAAUUGUCAGAGGUGAAAUUCUUGGAUUUAUUGAAGACUAACUACUGCGAAAGCAUUUGCCAAGGAUGUUUUCAUUAAUCAAGAACGAAAGUUAGGGGAUCGAAGACGAUCAGAUACCGUCGUAGUCUUAACCAUAAACUAUGCCGACUAGGGAUCGGACGAAGUUAAUUUUUUAAUGACUCGUUCGGCGCCUUACGGGAAAC